GCUUACGGCUACACCAGCUUGAGCAUGCCUGACCUCAGAAACUAAACAGGUUUGGAACUGGUUAGUACUUAGCUGGUACCCUGCCUGGGAAUGCUAGAUGCUGUAAGCU
rnacentral:rRNA from 1 species